CAGGCAUUGAUAAACUGGACCAAAUAUUUAUGAAUGUGAACAUUCUGCAUGUCAUAUAAUAUUACAUAGGUAUACCUUUAUAAAUAAAUAAAUCAUUAAAGAUGCACUCCAGCUAUAUUUGAUCAAAAUAGUGUUUUUUUAGACACAAACUGCAAACUUCAAUGAGUUGGUGUGAUGGUGCCCUCUGAUGUCAUUGGCCUAGAGAACAAAAUAUACCCCCCCCCCAAUCAGCUUAUAGUACAUCCUCUGAUGGCCUCCACUGUGAUGUUGACCUCCCACUUGAGCUUGUGGAGGUGAUGGUCCCCAGGAAUUUGUGGGGGACGUUUUCUUUUGUCAACCACCAUCUUCACGGUUGUUGCGACCGCGUUGAGUUCCAGGUUGUUGUGACCGCGUUGAGUUCCAGGUUGUUGCGACUGCGUUGAGUUCCAGGUUGUUUUGACUGCGUUGAGUUCCAGGUUGUUGUGACCGCGUUGAGUUCCAGGUUGUUGCGACUGCGUUGAGUUCCAGGUUGUUGCGACCGCGUUGAGUUCCAGGUUGUUGCGACUGCGUUGAGUUCCAGGUUGUUGCGACCACGUUGAGUUCCAGGUUGUUGCGACCGCGUUGAGUUCCAGGUUGUUGUGACCGCGUUGAGUUCCAGGUUGUUGCGACUGCGUUGAGUUCCAGGUUGUUUUGACUGCGUUGAGUUCCAGGUUGUUGUGACCGCGUUGAGUUCCAGGUUGUUGCGACUGAGUUGAGUUCCAG
rnacentral:lncRNA from 1 species